UAGUGGAUUUGCAGCAGAAACACCCUGCUAAAGAACAAGUAUCUUGGUUCCCAGCAAAGAGGACAAAGGAAAACAGCAAGUUAUAGGGAGUUGAAUGCUGGAUUGCUAAACCGAAGAACCAGAAAUCUGUCCCAAUAAUGAAUGGAAAAUGACCUAUGCCCAACUUCCUGAGGGACUACUUCAAUACUGGAUCUACCUAAGAGAUUUUCAGGGAUGCUCCCAUUGCUGGGGAAAUGUCACUGUUAGGAGAAUAGAAAACUUAUUCCAAAGAGUAUUGAAGACUGACUGAAUCAGGUCUGGAACAUUAUUGAAAUGUAAAAAGGAGUGUGACAGCAUAUUCACUUUGGCAAGAAGGGUGACUCCAUGAUCGGGUCCAGGAGAGGCAGUUCUCCGAUGUACAAAAUUCAUGAACAUCACUACACUCCCUGAUUACCAGGAUUAAAAAUCCCUUCUGGCUACCGAAACCCAGACAUGAUAGGGACUCACAAAGGAAGAGAUACUGAAGUGAAUUUUCAGAACAAAUUGGUUUUGGAAAUGCUGAUUCAUUAAAUUAUGUAUAGCCAAAGUUUAUUAUUUUUAUUUUGUAUAUAACAUUGGGUUAUAUGCUGAGAAUUUAAAAAUACAUAAGGCAUGAACCCUCAUUUCCAGAAACAUCAAGUCUAAUGAGGGAAGUAAACAUGUAAAGAUAAUUUCAUCUAAUGUGUUAAGGAAAUACCAAAAGUACAAAUACAUUUUCCUGGAGAUAGGCAUUCUGAACUAAGAUUCAUAAACAAUUAAUAAAUACGUUCAAAUGCUUUUCUUUAAAACAGCAUGGUAGUAGUAAUUAAAUAAUAUACAAUGCAUACAACAGAAUAGCAUGUCACAUCA